ACUGUCAUCUCAAACAAAAACAAAUGGAUCAUACAACUGCUAUGAAUACAUUUGACUCGUUUGCUUCCAUCAAUCGGUAAGUGAGAAAGAUGAUUUCUCCCAUCACCACAGUGCGGAUUUCCACUUCUAUCACAGCAGCCAACAACAUCCGUUUUCCUGCAGCAGUAACCUCCAACCCCUGUUGGCAAUGCCGGGGGACAGCAUUAACAGCAGCAGCAGCAGAAUUUGACCAUGGUAUGGUAUUGCGAAGAACUUUCCCCAUUAGAGGUUCCGUGCUUCGCGCACAUUCAAAAAUCCUCUUCAGACACGAAAACUCAACGACAAGGAGGUAUUUAUCAACUUGCUCAGCUGAAUUACCACCCCGGAGGAACCCGAAUGCACUGAUUCCGUUGUAUAGUAGAAUGAAAAUAGGCGAGGUAAGCGAACGCAUUCGCAUGAUAUUUUAAUGUUCGCAUUUUUAUCCGGAUCAUACAACUGCUAUGAAUACAUCCGACUCAAUCAAUCGGCGAAUGAGAAAGAUGAUUUCCCUUAUCACCACAUUGCUUUUUUCCACUUCUGUCACACCAGCCAACAGCAUCAGCUUUCCCGCAGCAGUAUCCUCUAAGUCCAGGGUGCUAUUCCGGGGAACAGCAUCAACAGCAACCGCAGCAGGACCUGGCCAUCGAUAGUAUUUCGAGCAAUUUUCCCCAUCGGAGACCCCGUGCUUCACGCACAUUGAAGAAUCCUCCUCAGCCACAUAUCUGUGUCAUCAAGGGCAAGGAGGUAUUCAUCAAUGUACUCAGUCGGAUUUGAAUAA